AUUGAACGCUGGCGGAAUGCUUUACACAUGCAAGUCGAACGGCAGCACGGGAGCUUGCUCCUGGUGGCGAGUGGCGAACGGGUGAGUAAUAUAUCGGAACGUACCGAGUAAUGGGGGCUAACAUAUCGAAAUAUGUGCUAAUACCGCAUACGCCCUGAGGGGGAAAUCGGAGGGUCGUAAGACGUCGCGUUAUUCGAGCGGCCGAUAUCGGAUUAGCUGGUUGGUGAGGUAAAGGCUCCCCAAGGCGACGAUCCGUAGCUGGUCUGAGAGGACGACCAGCCACACUGGAACUGAGACACGGUCCAGACUCCUACGGGAGGCAGCAGUGGGGAAUUUUGGACAAUGGGGGCAACCCUGAUCCAGCCAUUCCGCGUGAGUGAAGAAGGCCUUCGGGUUGUAAAGCUCUUUCGCAAGGGGAGAAAACUUAGGCUCUAACAUAGCUUGAGGCUGACGGUACCUUGAUAAGAAGCACCGGCUAACUACGUGCCAGCAGCCGCCGUAACAC
rnacentral:rRNA from 1 species